rnacentral:rRNA from 1 species
GGUGUGACUGCGUACCUUUUGUAUAAUGGGUCAGCGACUUAUAUUCUGUAGCAAGGUUAACCGUAUAGGGGAGCCGCAGGGAAACCGAGUCUUAACUGGGCGUUAAGUUGCAGGGUAUAGACCCGAAACCCGGUGAUCUAGCCAUGGGCAGGUUGAAGGUUGGGUAACACUAACUGGAGGACCGAACCGACUAAUGUUGAAAAAUUAGCGGAUGACUUGUGGCUGGGGGUGAAAGGCCAAUCAAACCGGGAGAUAGCUGGUUCUCCCCGAAAGCUAUUUAGGUAGCGCCUCGUGAACUCAUCUUCGGGGGUAGAGCACUGUUUCGGCUAGGGGGUCAUCCCGACUUACCAACCCGAUGCAAACUACGAAUACCGAAGAAUGUUAUCACGGGAGACACACGGCGGGUGCUAACGUCCGUCGUGAAGAGGGAAACAACCCAGACCGCCAGCUAAGGUCCCAAAGUCAUGGUUAAGUGGGAAACGAUGUGGGAAGGCACAGACAGCCAGGAUGUUGGCUUAGAAGCAGCCAUCAUUUAAAGAAAGCGUAAUAGCUCACUGGUCGAGUCGGCCUGCGCGGAAGAUGUAACGGGGCUAAACCAUGCACCGAAGCUGCGGCAGCGACACUAUGUGUUGUUGGGUAGGGGAGCGUUCUGUAAGCCUGCGAAGGUGACCUGUGAGGGUUGCUGGAGGUAUCAGAAGUGCGAAUGCUGACAUAAGUAACGAUAAAGCGGGUGAAAAGCCCGCUCGCCGGAAGACCAAGGGUUCCUGUCCAACGUUAAUCGGGGCAGGGUGAGUCGACCCCUAAGGCGAGGCCGAAAGGCGUAGUCGAUGGGAAACAGGUUAAUAUUCCUGUACUUGGUGUUACUGCGAAGGGGGGACGGAGAAGGCUAUGUUAGCCGGGCGACGGUUGUCCCGGUUUAAGCAUGUAGGCUGGUUAUCCAGGCAAAUCCGGAUAAUCAAGGCUGAGGUGUGAUGACGAGGCACUACGGUGCUGAAGUAACAAAUGCCCUGCUUCCAGGAAAAGCCUCUAAGCAUCAGGUAACAUCAAAUCGUACCCCAAACCGACACAGGUGGUCAGGUAGAGAAUACCAAGGCGCUUGAGAGAACUCGGGUGAAGGAACUAGGCAAAAUGGUGCCGUAACUUCGGGAGAAGGCACGCUGGUGUGUAGGUGAAGUCCCUGCGGAUGGAGCUGAGACCAGUCGAAGAUACCAGCUGGCUGCAACUGUUUAUUAAAAACAC